ACACUCCUCCAAAAUACAGAGACGGCACCAGACUACACAUCACUGAACUGACUGAAAAAAGCAAGGAUCAACACAAUGGCCGAUUACAGUCCUCGUAUCUGCUUUCAUAAAUGGUCUUCUGAUUAUUAUGAUCAUAGGCUUGGUGAAGAGCUACAUUGAUGUAGCUGGAAGAUCUAAAUAUUACACUGCAGCUAAAAACUCCAAUAAUCCACAGGUAAGAUACGUCUUCAAUAAAUGUUAUACCUUAUUCUCCUUUAAUACCCAUUUCCUUUCAGCUUCAAAUGACAUGAACAAAUUCAUUAUUUGAAUGAACGGGAAUUGUUUAAGGUGCUGUUACACGAUUCUCUGAAAUGCUUGACUGAGAUGAAAAUAUGACUCAAAUACUUACUAUGACUUAAAUACUUAUAUAAUACUUAUAUAUUCAAAUAAAUAUAAAUGCUUAUAUAAUAUGUUUAUUGAC
ensembl:lncRNA